GAUGAACGCUGGCGGCGUGCCUAAUACAUGCAAGUCGAGCGAACAGAUGAGGAGCUUGCUCCUCUGACGUUAGCGGCGGACGGGUGAGUAACACGUGGAUAACCUACCUAUAAGACUGGGAUAACUUCGGGAAACCGGAGCUAAUACCGGAUAAUAUAUUGAACCGCAUGGUUCAAUAGUGAAAGACGGUUUUGCUGUCACUUAUAGAAGGAUCCGCGCCGCAUUAGCUAGUUGGUAAGGUAACGGCUUACCAAGGCAACGAUGCGUAGCCGACCUGAGAGGGUGAUCGGCCACACUGGAACUGAGACACGGUCCAGACUCCUACGGGAGGCAGCAGUAGGGAAUCUUCCGCAAUGGGCGAAAGCCUGACGGAGCAACGCCGCGUGAGUGAUGAAGGUCUUCGGAUCGUAAAACUCUGUUAUUAGGGAAGAACAAAUGUGUAAGUAACUAUGCACGUCUUGACGGUACCUAAUCAGAAAGCCACGGCUAACUACGU
rnacentral:rRNA from 1 species